GACAAGAUUGAAGUAGUUUUUCUGUUUUUUAUACAUGUUGUCAAAACCCAGAGCCUGUCUGUCUGUAACCUUGCAUAGCUGUGACUACGUAGCCACACAAUAGUCAAAUAACAAUUUUAAUUCCCUGCAAUGUGGGUUUGGCUCAGUACAAAUUCAGAACAGACUAAGAACUGAAUUUUUAUUUGUAGCGAUGCAGACUCAACUGUAGACAAAGGUCUGUGUGUGUGUCCACGUGUUGGGUAAUUUAAAACAUCCAAUCAUGUUCAUU